rnacentral:rRNA from 1 species
GAUGAACGCUGGCGGCGUGCUUAACACAUGCAAGUCGAACGAAGCACUUUAUUUGAUUUCCUUCGGGACUGAUUAUUUUGUGACUGAGUGGCGGACGGGUGAGUAACGCGUGGGUAACCUGCCUUGUACAGGGGGAUAACAGUUGGAAACGGCUGCUAAUACCGCAUAAGCGCACGGCAUCGCAUGAUGCAGUGUGAAAAACUCCGGUGGUAUAAGAUGGACCCGCGUUGGAUUAGCUAGUUGGUGAGGUAACGGCCCACCAAGGCGACGAUCCAUAGCCGACCUGAGAGGGUGACCGGCCACAUUGGGACUGAGACACGGCCCAAACUCCUACGGGAGGCAGCAGUGGGGAAUAUUGCACAAUGGGCGAAAGCCUGAUGCAGCGACGCCGCGUGAGCGAAGAAGUAUUUCGGUAUGUAAAGCUCUAUCAGCAUGGAAGAUAAUGACGGUACCUGACUAAGAAGCACCGGCUAAAUACGUG